UUGUGUUUACAGAUUUUUACAGAGCCUGAAUAUGUACAAUAACGUGAUCUCAGUGAGGUGAUUAUUCCCUUGCCCAUGGCUCACCAAUUGACAUUGGAGCAGUAUUGCAAAAAAAUGUUUUAUGGCCCGUCACACUGCUCCUAUAUGUAGUACAAUUUACAGCAUCCAUGGACACCACAUCAGUGAAUAACCAUUAGCAGGUGAGGCUUCGCCUCCGAUUGAGAGGAAUGAGUCAACAUCACCAAAGAGACGCAAACCAGUGUCAGAUCAUGAGAUAACUUCAAGUGCCAGCACUGUGAGGCCUUCCUCCAAGGGUAAAGAAGCAUAUCAAGGCAGAGCUACCCAGAAGAAAAUGCCCUGGCAGCAGAAAGAGGUACAGGCGGUAGAAAGGCAUAUGAAGCGCUUCAUCACAUCUUGCAUUGUACCAGCAAAGAGCGACUGUAUGAAGUGUUUGAAUGCUGAGCCAGAAGCUCUUAAGAACCGAGAGUGG